rnacentral:tRNA from 1 species
GCGAGAGUGGCGGAAUUGGUAGACGCACUGGAUUUAGGAUCCAACGGCAGCGUCCGUGGGAGUUCGAGUCUCCCCUCUCGCACCA